CCGGUUUUCUUCUGCUUCAGUUCAUUUCUCCGUUACUCUCUUCCUCUGUUGCUUCGUUCCUGAUUCUGUCUGAAAUCGAAUUUAGGGUUCUUCUUACUGCAAUCUCGACGUCUACCUAUGAAUUGCAAUUGAAAUUUUUUGGCGAAUCGAGCUCAACUCUGUCCUCACUCGUGUUGAAAUUUGGUGCUUCUUUGUCCGACUGCCAAUCCGAGUGGCAUAACAGCCAGUCAACACAAUGGCCUAUGAAUUGACUGAGCAAAAAAAAGUUGGACUUGGGCUGAUUGGUUUUGGCUUGUUUUUCACAUUUUUGGGUGUAAUCCUUUUCUUUGACAGGGGAUUGCUUGCUUUAGGAAAUAUAUUUUGGUUAGUUGGAGUGGGACUCUUACUUGGUUGGCGUUCUACAUGGAAUCUUUUUACCAACCGAGCAAAUCACAAGGGUUCUGCAUCCUUUCUUCUUGGCCUCUUCUUCAUUUUUGUUCGCUGGCCCAUAAUCGGCAUACUCUUGGAGAUAUGUGGCUGUUUUGUUCUCUUUGGGGGUUUCUGGCCCUCAAUUAAAGGGUUCUUGUACCAGAUUCCAGUUCUUGGGUGGAUACUUCCAUACCCCAUCAUGAUUCUCGAAAGUUUGUGGAGAGGCUCACGUUAAUCACUUCAAAUCUGUAAGCGUAUGUUCAAAUGAGAGUUGACAACGAACUAAUCCAAUUGUAAUUAGAUUUCAUCUUCAGAUGCUGCAUUUGAAUGGAAGAUCCUGAAGCUGCAAAUUGUGGGACCAAAAUUGAAGUGUAGAAGCAACAUCCUUGUGGUUGAAUGCAAUCAAGUGUGUGAAGCAAUUGAUUACAAGCACAGAGCCAAAGGGUGGCACCCACAUCCUUAAAUUAAAUUCAACUAUCAUUGUGAGUAAAUGAAUCUUUAUUCGUGAAUGGCACUCUUUUUCUUACAAAAAUGUGCAAAAUUGCUCUUGUUUUAAUUCAAUUUGUUCUACUCAGGAGGCCUACUUUAUUUUAAACUUUAGUUAUUGCUAGCUGUGGAAAUGGUCCUUCUAAAGUAUAAAAUUUGAGAUUUUAGGUGUGACUAAAUUGCAAACAUGAUCCUAUUCAAUUAGGAUCGAGUCACAUUGAUAAAAUUUAGUGGUUG